GGCCCUGUAAGUGUGUGUGUGUGUGUGUGUGUGUGUGUGUGUUGUGUGUGUGUGUUUGCGUGUGUGUAAUUGCGGUGGACUGGAUUCUUGUUGAACAAAUAUUCACUCAAUAUUCACUCUCUCUUCCUCCUUAGGAUGGCAUAUACUUAUAUUUACCUGCCUCACUCAUUUUGGGCAUGGCCAUGUAACCGGGUGCACAGAAGCGGGAGUGUACUGAGGCUUUGAAUGUUUGUUUAGCCUCUGGAGCUCCUGCCUACUUCAUGAUGUAAGUACGUCCAGGGUAGCCAUAGUUCCAGGAUGAAGAGACAUGGGGAAAGCAGACCUGACCCAAGCCCAAAUGAGUCCAGCCAACUCACAGACCCAUUACUGAAAAGAAAUAAAUGCCUGUUGUAAGCCACUGAGAUUUUGGGAUUAUUUGUUACACAGCCUUAUCAUGGAAAAGCUGACUAACAAGUGUUCAUGGUAGUCUUUACAGGGAACUAGUCCAAUACUCAGGCCUUUUCACAGAGGGCUUCAGGAUGGAGGCACCUGCUCUGUUGCAUGUCAUUAAGGAAUCAGGUUUUAGUAAAUAGUUCCUCCCCCUUUUAGACUCCGUUCCCUGACCUCUUCCUCAAGUGCAUAUCUCCCCCCCUCUUUAGGACAAUUAACCACAUUCACAAAAUUCCACCUCCUCCUCCUCUACAGGCCACUUCUGCAGGCUCUCAGAACUGUCUGUCUUUGACAAGGGCUAUCCUUGUUGUGGGAGGCCCUCAGCUUUCCGAGGAGGUUGGAAAGAAUGGAGCUCAGAGAAAUGGAGGGGCCCCCGCAAGCUGCAGCAGCAGGAGGCAAAGGAACCAGCAGCAGGGCCCUCUGGAAAGAUCGGAGGAGGCAUGUAGCUGAGUGCUCACACAACGUGAGGAUGUCGCAGCUCCAAACCAGGGUGUUCUCUGUGAUGUCAGAGAACACAAAGAGCACUGACAUAUUUCUGGAGCUCAGGUGGAUAGCUAAUGGACUGGAGGAGCUUUCAACUCAACUGGAGCGAUACAUAAAGAGAAAACUUAAUUACAGUUAGGAUUCCGUGGGUUAACUGGGUAAGCAAGUAGCCUCCAUAUUUCAUAGCAUCUAAGACACAAUUGAUUUUAAGAUGCACCAUUAUUUUAUGUACCUCUGAGGAAAAAAGUACUGCCAAUUAAACUGUGACCACAAUGCUUUAUAUCUUAGAAUGGUAAUUUUACCCUUAUUGAAAGAGCUCUUUAAGAUUUGUUUAGAUACUUGUGCAUACAUUAAAAUGAAAAUACAAGCAAAAUAUGUUGGUUGUGAUAUUCUUAAAUUGUCUUCACAAGGUGGGCUCUGCCGAUUGGCUCUCUGAUUUAGAGUUGCUGGUGUCUAUGGUUCUCUAGGCAAUGCCUCUCUCUGUGAAAUUAAGACUAGUGAACACAAGCAUUUCUUCCCACAGCACUGCACCAUUGAUCUGGGGGUUUCUUCCCAGACCCUGACACACAUUUACAAGUUCUAGAACUGGUGCUUUCUUCAUCGUACAGGAAGGUAUGAAUCCAGGACUCAUUUAUUUUUUUCUUCAAAUGAUCCUUAAAUGGUUCAUUGAUUAAAAGACCAAGGUUUGUAAUUAUGUAACCUUGCCACCAGGACAACAACCAAGUGUGCUCAUGUGUGGACAGUGACAGUGCUGUAAUUUCCAUCUUGUUUGACAACAAUUGUAAGAUGCCAACACCAACACCAUGAGGGCUGCCCUGGUAAGCUGCUUUCUACUUCCUUCCAAUUUCCUUCUUCUCUAAUCUCAGAUAGCUCUUAUAUGUGGAACAGUCUUAGGUAUAACUCAUCCAGUUCGAUGCAUGGAUGAGGAUGCCUGAUGUUCUCAGUGGCCAAGUCCUGUAUGCUUAUUACAUAGAAAUGGGAAGUAGAAGAGAGAGGGCAGAGCCUAGAUUCUUGCCUUUGAGGAUAGGUAGCUGUACUCACUAGUAAUAUGGAACUCAAGUAAUGAUCCAGCUUAAACAGCUCCUUCUCAGGAAAUCCUGCUCCAGUAUCCUUGCUGUGCUGACAUAGUAGCCCAUACUGACCUCUGUCACAGCAUGCCCCAUGUGUAUGUGGCCAUUGUGAUGUCCUUGAGAGCAGCAACCCUAUCUAUUCAUCCUUGUAACCCAGUGCCUGGUGCAAUGCCCAGGCUUUAGUAGACUUUGGGUGAACAGUUGCCAAAAGACCGAGGAUGGAAAGAAUGGGGCAGGAAAUGCUCAGGGACAGGGAAAUGCCAGCCACAUUUAGAGAAGGUGGAGUCUUGUUGUUUGUCUGAGAUGGAGGGUGUAUGACAGGAAGCAGUGGAAAGUCAGAACAGGAGGGAAGGCUGGCUUGGAGUACUACAAGGAGGAAGAUUAUUUGGCUGCAUAGAACCUGAUAAAGACUAUUUCAGAGCACCUGUAUGUAAUCCAAUAUGUAUAUUGAGUCACAGAUGACAGUUACAACAGAAAUGAAUUGAUCAGUAUUAACCAUAUAUCAGAUGAGGUAGUUUAAAUAAAGAAACUGAUAUUCCU
rnacentral:lncRNA from 1 species